rnacentral:lncRNA from 1 species
GCAGGGUUUGAAUUGACUUUAUUAUUCUGUAAAUGUGAACUUUACAAAGCGUUUUACAAUUACUGAUGACAUCCUUUGCCAUGGAUUUCCAUGUCUGAAACAGCUCUGAGCGCCGGCUCACAGCUCUCGGGUUUCCCUGGUCAGCUUGCAGACAUUGCUGUGGGUUGUUUUUUUUUUUCUUUUUUUUUUCUUUUUUUAAAUUUUUUGUUGUUUUUGUUGUUAUUGAUACAAUGUUUUCAGCCAUGGCUACAAAGUAACAGUCUUGUCACUACAGGGUCACAGCACAGAGAAAGGAGGAUGCUGGAGGGUCAAAAAAUAAAACAAAACAAAAACAAACAAAAAAAACCCCACAAAACAAAAACAAAGCCUCCUCCUCCCUUAAACAAAAGAAAGCCAAGAAAUGGUGUCUGCUCUAGCUCAGUGUGAAGGCCUCCUUAGAGGUAGGGGAGCAACUGACUUUAUUAUUUUCUAACAGUCAUGAGUUAUGAUGCUACUUUAACCCCUAGACAGUGCCUUCAAAACAACCCUCUUCCUGGGGUCCUUUUCUACAAACAUCCCACUGAAGGGAUAAAUGUUCUCCUUGAACCCAGAGCCACCCAAAAUGUUCAAGUCAAAAAUAUUUACACAUUUUAUACUGAGUUCUCUUUUGUCUGCUAAAAAUAGUAUUGCAAAUUUUGGCUUCUUUUGACAUAAAAAUCACAAUCGUGUGCAAAAUGCUUGCAAUGAGGCGGCCGAUGGGACACAAGC